rnacentral:tRNA from 1 species
UGUCUCAGUUGGUAGAGCAUGGUGUUUGCAAUGCCAGGGUUGUGGGUUCGAUUCCCAC